rnacentral:rRNA from 1 species
AUUGAACGCUGGCGGCAUGCUUUACACAUGCAAGUCGAACGGUAACAGGUCUUCGGAUGCUGACGAGUGGCGAACGGGUGAGUAAUACAUCGGAACGUGCCUAGUAGUGGGGGAUAACUACUCGAAAGAGUAGCUAAUACCGCAUGAGAUCUACGGAUGAAAGCAGGGGACCUUCGGGCCUUGUGCUACUAGAGCGGCUGAUGGCAGAUUAGGUAGUUGGUGGGGUAAAGGCUUACCAAGCCUGCGAUCUGUAGCUGGUCUGAGAGGACGACCAGCCACACUGGGACUGAGACGCGGCCCAGACUCCUACGGGAGGCAGCAGUGGGGAAUUUUGGACAAUGGGCGAAAGCCUGAUCCAGCAAUGCCGCGUGCAGGAUGAAGGCCCUCGGGUUGUAAACUGCUUUUGUACGGAACGAAAAGCCUGGGGCUAAUAUCCCCGGGUCAUGACGGUACCGUAAGAAUAAGCACCGGCUAACUACGUG